GACGAACGCUGGCGGCGUGCCUAAUACAUGCAAGUAGGACGCAGUUGCGAACGGGUGAGUAACGCGUAGGUAACUACCUAUUAGAGGGGGAUAACUAUUGGAGACGAUAGCUAAUACCGCAUAUUAGUAGAUGGACCUGCGUUGUAUUAGCUAGUAGGUAAGGUAAUGGCCUACCUAGGAAACGAUACAUAACCGACCUGGGAGGGUGAGCGGCCACAUUGGGUAUGGGACACGGCCCAGACUCCUACGGGAGGCAGCAGUGGGGAAUCUUCGGCAAUGGGGGGAACCCUGACCGAGCAAAGCCGCGUGAGUGAAGAGGGUUUUCGGAUCGUAAAGCUAUGUUGUUAGGGAAGCGGUACUUAACCAGAAAGGGACGGCUAACUACGUGCCAGCAGCCGCGGUAAUAC
rnacentral:rRNA from 1 species